GGUAGAAGAAUGGAGAAAGAUGGUGCUUGUCAAUUAAAGUGUGUGUUGAAUCCAACUUACCUCACGUAACCACUGUGGACAGAUCUAUUUUUCCUUCCUCACUCAACGUCUCCUAAUAAAAGAAAUGUUAUUUUAAAUUAUUUUUCCAAUUCAUAAAAGUGAGUUUGUUACCAAGACUUCUGGUCAUAUGACUAGUUUUAAUCCAUCAAAAAUGUAGUGUCUAGUAGGAAACCAUAUUAUUCAUCAUAUUUAACCAACUAUCCUUACGAGAGUUUUGUGUACCCAGGACGAACAGACUAGUCCCUUUUCUCUUGUCAUUAAAGUUUACUUGUGUUGUUACCCAAAUGAAGCAACUUUCUAGAGCUACACAAUGUUAACUCAAUUUGAGAGCGCUCUGCAGGCCAUCCCCCUCAUUCGCUUUCUUUGUCCACUCUUAAGCAUAUGUUUAUGGAACACUUUCUUUGUACUCCACUUUGCAACAAAAGGAAUACACAGAAUUUUAAUUUACUGACUCUACCCUCUACAGAAAAGCUUGUGAACAUACAAAGUUUAACACUACUAUAAAAGUUAAAUAACAAAAAUGAGAUUGUCAUAUGACAAUUUUUUUUUUUUUUUGCAAUUGUCAAAUAAUUUGGUUCUGGUGUAGUCUAAGAGGAUUGUGAACAAGAGUGGCCAAGGAAGCCCUCAAGUUGAAGACAGGACUUGAAAUGGAAGCUUGAACGAGGUACAAGAAGUCAAUCCUGAGAAGAGAAAAGAAAACAUUCCAAGAAAGAGGCCAGAGCAAAAGUGCCAUGGUAGGGGACAGUACAGCCAUUCCAGAGGCUGUGGUCCUGACUCCCUGACUGCGCUGGUUCAGGAUGGUGGGGCCCAGGAUGCUUGCAGGAGAGCAGCAGCAGAGAGACCAAAAAGACAGAUAUAUAGGAGCCGGCCUGGUGGCGCAGCAGUUAAGUGUGCACGUUCAGCUUCAGCGGCCUGGGGUUCACCGGUUUGGAUCCCGGGUGUGGACAUGGCACCGUUUAGCAAGCCAUGCUGGGGUAGGCAUCCCACAUAUAAACUAGAGGAAGAUGGGCAUGGAUUAACAGGGCCAGUCUUCCUCAGCAAAAAAGAGGAGGAUUGGUGGCAGAUGUUAGCUUGAAACCGAACCUGAAGUGAGUUUGCUCACCCGUUGCACAGCAAGCCAAUCUCUGACACUGGGUGUGGUGGAAGAAAGUAGGAAUUUUAUUUUUGCACAGCACUGAGCAAGGAGAGAGGGCAGCUAAUGCUGAAAUCCCAAACUCCCCGAAAAGCUAAAAGGAAGGGUUUUUAUUGGGGCUUUAGGUAGGGGUGGGGGAGCAUAUGGCCUUGCUGGUCAGAGCUUUCCCACCAGCCUGUCUUUGGCCUUGAGACACUUACAGAGAGGAGGAAGCCUGUGACCUUGCUGGUCAGCAGCUUUCCCACCAGUCUGUAUCUCUUUGUGGGGAGGAGAUAAUCCAGGUGCUUGUCCUUGAAGGUGUCUGUCUCCAAGGAGGAUAGUAGAUUCUGGAGCCAGGAAGCCAGAGAGUAAGCAGGGAAUGAGUGUUUUGGUUUUAACCCCAUAUAUGCUGGGUUUAAUGUGGGGAAACUGAUAUUAGGGUCGGUAUCAAGCUCAGGGCUAAUCUUCUUCUUCUUCAAAAAAAACAGAUUUAUAAAAGUUCAUUUAAUUUUAAGACUAAUCACAUUGUCAUAUUCGAAGAUCAUAUUUUUUCUUUCAUUUCAGUAUUUAUAUUU
rnacentral:lncRNA from 1 species